rnacentral:rRNA from 1 species
UACGAAGGGGGCGAGCGUUGUUCGGAUUUACUGGGCGUAAAGGGCGCGCAGGCGGCUCAUUUUGUCAGGCGUGAAAGCCCCGGGCUUAACCUGGGAACUGCAUUUGUGACUGCACAGCUGGAGUGCGGCAGAGGGGGAUGGAAUUCCGCGUGUAGCAGUGAAAUGCGUAGAUAUGCGGAGGAACACCGAUGGCGAAGGCAAUCCCCUGGGCCUGCACUGACGCUCAUGCACGAAAGCGUGGGGAGCAAACAGG